CGGCAGGAUAGGGCGGGAGAGUAGGGGCCUCCCAUACCGCAAACCCCCUUUGGCGGGCCCGAAUGUCCGGCUGCGUUUCAGCGCAAGUUGCAAGGCUCGGGCUUUAAGCGUCGACGUUUUGCCUUGCCGGACGGUCCAUUGUGCCAACCGGGUCAGGCCGGAAGGAGCAGCCCUACGCAUUUUGGUACCGUGCUGGAAAGUCCCAAGACUGAGCAGCGGUUCGAAUCACCUUGCAGUUCGCCCUGAGGCCCGCCGGUCCUCCUGCCA
rnacentral:SRP_RNA from 1 species